rnacentral:lncRNA from 1 species
GAGGACCAUCCACUGGGUGUCGGGGGAGCUUCUGCCCCAAGUAGCAGGAGGGAGCUGUCAAGGCGUGGAGUUCACACUCAAACACUCCCAGAGGACGGCACUCUGCAUGGGACGCCAUCCAGCUCCUUUGACUGUGGAAUCAAGUACAUUAUCAGCUGGCCCCUGGCUCCUGGCUGUGACCUCCCUUCGCUUGAACUGAGCCUUGUGUGCUUAUCAAAGUUUUGGCUUUGUUGCAAGAGCAGGUCAAGAUUUAGCUGUUCUUCAGUGAACAAGUGUGCAGAUUGUCAAAUAUGUCAGUUCAUCAAAUAAGAAAACAUGCAGUUCUCCCACCUAUCAUUUGUAGAAGUGACAAGGAAUUUUUGGAAAGUGUGCAAAGAUACAUAAUUACAGAAACUGAAAGACUGGGCUGUAGUGAGGAAGGACCUGCUGA